AUAUGCCGAGAGGUGAAACGAAUUUCGCCUGGGGAUGAGCUCGCGUCUGAUUAGCUUGUUGGUGGGGUAACGGCCUACCAAGGCUUCGAUCAGUAGCUGGUCUGAGAGGACGAUCAGCCACACUGGGACUGAGACACGGCCCAGACUCCUUCGGGAGGCAGCAGUGGGGAAUUUUCCGCAAUGGGCGCAAGCCUGACGGAGCAACGCCGCGUGAGGGACGAAGGCCUUUGGGCUGUAAACCUCUUUUCUCAAGGAAGAAGAUCUGACGGUACUUGAGGAAUAAGCCACGGCUAAUUCCGUGCCAGCAGCCGCGGUAAUACGGGAGUGGCAAGCGUUAUCCGGAAUUAUUGGGCGUAAAGCGUCCGCAGGCGGCCGUUUAAGUCUGUUGUUAAAUCGUGGAGCUCAACUCCAUCACGGCAAUGGAAACUGUUCGGCUUGAGUAUGGUAGGGGCAGAGGGAAUUUCCGGUGUAGCGGUGAAAUGCGUAGAUAUCGGGAAGAACACCAGUGGCAAAAGCGCUCUGCUGGGCCAUUACUGACGCUCAUGGACGAAAGCCAGGGGAGCGAAAGGGAUUAGAUACCCCUGUAGUCCUGGCCGUAAACGAUGAACACUAGAUGUUGGGGGAAUCGACCCCUCCGGUGUCGUAGCUAACGCGUUAAGUGUUCCGCCUGGGGAGUACGCACGCAAGUGUGAAACUCAAAGGAAUUGACGGGGGCCCGCACAAGCGGUGGAGUAUGUGGUUUAAUUCGAUGCAACGCGAAGAACCUUACCAAGGCUUGACAUCCUGCGAAUCUCCAAGAAAUUGGAGAGUGCCUUCGGGAACGCAGUGACAGGUGGUGCAUGGCUGUCGUCAGCUCGUGUCGUGAGAUGUUGGGUUAAGUCCCGCAACGAGCGCAACCCACGUUUUUAGUUGCCAGCAUUCAGUUGGGCACUCUAGAAAGACUGCCGGUGACAAACCGGAGGAAGGUGUGGACGACGUCAAGUCAUCAUGCCCCUUACGCCUUGGGCUACACACGUACUACAAUGCUGCGGACAAAGAGU
rnacentral:rRNA from 1 species